rnacentral:rRNA from 1 species
UACGGGGGGGGCAAGCGUUGUUCGGAAUUACUGGGCGUAAAGGGCUCGUAGGCGGCCAACUAAGUCGGAUGUGAAAUCCCCAGGCUCAACCUGGGAACUGCAUCCGAUACUGGAUGGCUUGAAUUCGGGAGAGGGAUGCAGAAUUCCAGGUGUAGCGGUGAAAUGCGUAGAUAUCUGGAGGAAUACCGGUGGCGAAGGCGGCAUCCUGGACCGGUACUGACGCUGAGGUGCGAAAGCGUGGGGAGCAAACAGG